rnacentral:rRNA from 1 species
AAGGGUGCGUAACACGUGGGUAAUUUGCCAUGAAGUUGGGGAUAACUUGCUGAAAGGCGAGCUAAUACCGAAUGUGGCCCGAUGGAGGCAUCUCUGUCAGGCUAAAGCUGGGGACCGUAAGGCCUGAUGCUUCAUGAUAAACCCGCGGCCUAUCAGCUAGUUGGCGGGGUAACGGCCCACCAAGGCUAAGACGGGUAGCUGGUCUGAGAGGACGACCAGCCACACUGGAACUGAGAGACGGUCCAGACACCUACGGGUGGCAGCAGUCGAGAAUUUUUCACAAUGGGGGAAACCCUGAUGGAGCGACGCCGCGUGGGGGAUGACUGGCUUCGGCCCGUAAACCCCUGUCAUUUGUGAACAAACCUAUCCACCUAACACGUGGAGAGUUGAUAGUAGCAGAAGAGGAAGGGACGGCUAACUCUGUGCCAGCAGCCGCGG